rnacentral:rRNA from 1 species
AUGUCUACCUCCUCCGCCACACACUCAAAAUGGCGUCAGUAUGGUCCAGUGCCGCUCAUAAGGUGCCCUGACUGCCCACGCCCAGAGCCUCUGAAACGGUGGGUCAGUAGGACUGAUGAGAAUGGAAAUCUUGGGCGGGAAUUUGUGAAGUGCUUGAGCAAAACAAUGGCAGGAAGGGAUGGCAAGGGUUCAUGUUGUUGUUUUCAAAUCCUGAAGAAAUGCACACAUUUUGAGUGGAUGGAUGAUUAUGUUGAGAGGAUUCAGUUCGAGGGCUACAUUUAUUCGAGCGGGCCCGCAACCUGGGAGCACAAUUUGGGGGGUGGGGUGCCGCAGAUGGAGAAUUUGGGGUCGAGCUCGGACAGAGGGGCGGGCAGAGUCGUGCCGAUGGCGAGGUAUGCGCGCAAUGCUGAACUACACUUGGAGUCUGAACUAACCGAGGAACUGAAGAAGAUCAAGGAAAGUCAAAUGUUGAUGAUCGAUUUGCAGAAGCAAGCAAAUAUCAUGGCAGGGGGUUCUAUUGUUGUGUCAUUGCUCUGUUUUUGUUUUACUUGUUGUUCAUCCGUCAUUAGAGGGGCCAUUUAG